UACGUAGGGUGCAAGCGUUGUCCGGAAUUAUUGGGCGUAAAGAGCUCGUAGGCGGUCUGUCGCGUCGGCUGUGAAAACUCGGGGCUCAACCCCGAGCCUGCAGUCGAUACGGGCAGACUAGAGUGCUGUAGGGGAGACUGGAAUUCCUGGUGUAGCGGUGAAAUGCGCAGAUAUCAGGAGGAACACCGGUGGCGAAGGCGGAUCUCUGGGCCAUUACUGACGCUGAGGAGCGAAAGCGUGGGGAGCGAACAGGAUAGAUACC
rnacentral:rRNA from 1 species